rfam:Fukomys damarensis contig70443, whole genome shotgun sequence.
GGAUGUGAGGGUGAUCUGGUGAUCUGUUGUCCCACUGAUCUUCAGGAUUGAUUCAGCUGAUACAACUGGCUAGGCAUGUGUCCCCUCCUCCCUCACUGCUCCAUGUGUGUCCUUCCUGAAGCUGUGUGCUUGGCCAAAGAGGACAACCACCCCUGAUAGAGGAGGACCAUUUCCUCAGUCAGGGGUAUAUGAGUAGCUGCACUCCCCUGCUAGAAUGUCCAGACAAGCUCUUAAGAGUACAGAAGAAAGAAGGAAUACUGAGCACUACAAGAGAAAAGUGACAACUUACAUA